CUAUCUAGGGAGGCCAAGCAUCCUCGCCCACUAGGCCCAGCGAUCAGACUUCAAGACCAUGUGCACAAAAUGAGCUCCCAGGAUGGAUGAGCACGCAUCUGCUAGGCUCUGGACAGGUCACAGCAGAGCCCUUCUCCCUGCUCACCGCCCAGCACACUCUCAUCUCACCGAAAAUCAAAGGAAAUCCGAGCAAUAACAGCAGCUCAUGCCACACUACUCAGGCAAACUUCUCAGUGCCAAUUACUUGGAGGAAAAACAAAAUCAUGCCUGUGCCUCUGGAUGGAAAGUGGUGUCGCUGUUCAAAUGGCUCAGACAAAGCCAGAGGCCC